rnacentral:rRNA from 1 species
UGAGGAAUAUUGGUCAAUGGACGAGAGUCUGAACCAGCCAAGUAGCGUGCAGGAUGACGGCCCUAUGGGUUGUAAACUGCUUUUGUUUGGGAAUAAUCGACAUUACGUGUAAUGUUUUGCAUGUACCAUUCGAAUAAGGACCGGCUAAUUCCGUGCCAGCAGCCGCGGUAAUACGGAAGGUCCAGGCGUUAUCCGGAUUUAUUGGGUUUAAAGGGAGUGUAGGCGGUUGGUUCAGCGUGUUGUGAAAUGUAGAUGCUCAACAUCUGACUUGCAGAGCGAACUGGCUGACUUGAGUACACACAACGUAGGCGGAAUUCAUGGUGUAGCGGUGAAAUGCUUAGAUAUCAUGACGAACUCCGAUUGCGAAGGCAGCUUACGGGAGCGAAACUGACGCUAAAGCUCGAAGGUGCGGGUAUCGAACAGG